ACACAUCUGUGAUGAUUAUAAGUUAUCCCUGUCAGACAUCUUUUGUGUUGAUAGCGCAUAGUCUGAGAUGUUG